AAAAAAAAAAAAAAAAAUCCCACCGAAGCACAGCACAGUAACAUCGUUUCUUUCUCUCUUCUUCUCAUUUCUGAUAUCUCUUCUUCUUCACGCUCACACAUCCACACGAUACCGCUCCACCACCAACCACCACCGUCCUUCCUCCGGCGACGAACUUCCGGCGAGCUCUCCAGAGCUACGGGCUUAGCCCAAUAUCAACAUCACUGAAAAUGAAGGUAUUGAGUUUAUUGGCUUAGUACAAAGCACAUGUGAUUUGGUCAGCAAAAAUGUCCCUUCUAAGUAGGUUCUUUUACAGAAGACCCCCAGAUGGCUUGCUUGAAUUUGUUGACAGAGUAUAUGUUUUUGAUUCGUGUUUUUCCACUGAAGUCUUGCCUGAUGGAAUGUACCAAAUAUACUUGCAUGAAAUCAUAACUGAGUUACACGAGGAAUUCCCAGGCUCAUCAUAUCUAGCUCAUAUAAUUCCGUUUGAGAUGCAAUUUUAUUUUAAUAAUUCGAUAGUUACAAUGAGAAAGUAGAAUUAAUGAUCAAGAAGUAUCAAUCUAUUGAGCUA